ensembl:lncRNA
GGUGGGGAGAGGGUAUAUGAGAAAAGAGAUUUUAUAUUUCACACAGGAGAUGAUUUUAGUCUUGGGGAGGGGGAGGGGGGGUUGGCGUAGUGGUUAGCAAGAAGGUUCGUGCAAAUGUUUAUUUCUAACUCUGUGAUGAAAUGCAAUACAGGCGUUAAUUCAAUCCAGCACCUUAGCUGCUGAAUGCCAAUGUGCGUUAGCGGCUAAACUGCAUCGUUUGAGUUUUCCUCCAUGACUUCCACUGCUUUCCAAUAAAACGGAAAGAUCUCUGUGGCCAACGGGGCAUGUAUGAAAUGACCUCUUGCCCAGAAUGGCCCAGUUCCCAAUAGUCUUAACAGUUUAGCAAUACUUUCCUUGUGGUUCAAUUCUUUUUCUGCACCUGAUUUUUAUUUUCGUUGACAAUUACAUACAAUUUCUACAUUCUGUUUAGCCUCUGAUGUUUUUAGGACUGUGCUUCUAUUUGCUUGACAUUGUGUUGCUCAGACAUCAAGAGCAAUGUUUGACAAGGAAUUUCUUCUCCCACAAAGUGGAAAGGAAAACUAGAUGGAGAGCUACCAGUGUGGUUAAAAAAAAACAAAAAAAACAGGCAGUAUGUGUUUUUUGUUGUUGAAGGUGAAAAGAAUGUGUUUACAACAAGGCAAAUGGAAAUGUUUGUUAAUAUUCCUAUACUUUCUAUGUGUUGUUCUUCUUUGUUUCAGGCAGGGUUUUUGCUUUUUUUACAUUAGCAUUUUUUUACCUAAGGGUUUUUGCUUUUUUGUUUGUUUGUUUUUGCAUUUGUUUUCAUCAUGUGUUAGAAAAAAAAGUGUAAGAAAUGCAAAAACGCAUCUGAAACGCAGAAAGAGGCCUGUAUAGGCAUUUAUAUAUUUUUUUUUUCCGACAACAGAAAUCACACACUGCGCCUGCAAACAGACAGAAGUGGCAAAAAACAGCGAACAGUUGAAAUCUCCCUCCGAAUACAGUUUUUUUUCUGUUCUUCUUUGAAGCACCUCAGGACUGCAGAUGUUGGCCUCCCUCUGGUCUUAACCAGUCACACACAUCUGAUUCACAGUCUGUCUCUGGCUGAACACACCAGAUUGAAUCAACCGUCACCAAUGGCCUCCUAUGUCCGAUCAGGUGUAGGGACUUGGGAGACGGAUAGGUUAACACAUGAUUGCCCCACCAAAAGGGCUCAGUGGCAGAUGCUGCCUUUUAGGCACGCAGAGAGCCAACUUCCAGAGUCUCCUAAACUGGUUCCAUCCUGAUCUGCAGUCAGUCAGUCAGUUAGGCAUGGCAUGAAAUGUACAUCGAUUACAGGUUCCUGAACAGAAAGGCAAAUUGAAUCCCACACUUGGCUUGCUGUCUCUGUGUCAACUCUCAGUCUGUACUGUGUGUUCCUGGCUGUUUUGCACAGCAUAGAACUUGACUUACAUUAACAUUUUCACAGCAUAGAACUGGACUUCCAGUAACAUUUUCACAGCAUAGAACUGGACUUCCAGUAACAUUUUCACAGCAUAGAACUGGACUUCCAUUAACAUUUUCAGCGUUGAUAGUUUCCAAAAUUUUCUCCGCUCUCAUCCUCAGCUAGGAAUGGUAUGGAGUCACUCAUUUGACAUUGUAUCAGAGGGAGAGUUGCUGAACGCCUCCUUUUUUUUCUGAAGGGAUAUUGAUUUCACACAGGAGAACUGAAUAUUACCAAAGACCGUCAAAUAAUAGACCUUACUGAAGAGUUAGAACAGACAGUCACUGUGUGGGAUCCAAUUGUGUGUCCUUGACACCCAGAGGUAGAGUUUGUUUUUAGAUUUUUUUCCCUGUCGGCUGUCCCUCUCAUAGUUCGUCCUGUAAAUAUGUUGGAAGUCUGAAGGGCUGGAAUAGCGUGUAGUUUGGAUAUUGUGCCUUUUUUUGUUCCCUAGACUUUAGGCUCAGUUCAGUUUCUCCACAGAUGCAGUAAAGAAAGACACUUUCUCAGUGUAGCUUACAUGAUGCUACAUGAUUCAACCUUCAACCGUGAAGAAAUAGUCCUAAUUCGUGAUAAAUUACAUUUUUCUUUUCAGUUUUGUAACACAAAAAUUAAACAGUUAUAUUAGGAUAAGGCAAAAAAAAAAAAAAGUAGGAAACCGCUGAUUUAUAGCUACACCAAGACAGACUUGCUUGGACUUUCCUUAUGACCAAUUCAGACCCUUCCAUUUGAUCGAAUCAAUGAAAUAUAUAUAUUGUGGAGAAGGAGAUAGUGUGGAGUGGUUGUUUUUGAUGUAACGGUCUGCAAGGCCGGUGAACUACCUCAGAGUUGCAUGAGCUCUGUGUUUUGGGUGGGGUGUGUUGGGUGGGGGGGGCAUGCAGGUUCAGUCCUCCCCUCCCCCCCACUCCAAAAUCCUUCUCACAGAGCACAGGUCCAGCUCAGGAGCUGGACACUACACUACAGGAAACCUCUUCUUCUUCCUCUUCCUCCUCUUCGUCCUCCUCCUUCUCUUCCACCUCUUCUCUGAGGAAGCGUCUUGUUUUUAGACAUUUUUUGUAAUGUGGUCUAGCUGAUGGUAAUUGGUAAGAAAGCUGUGGAUGCCUAUGCAUUGAAGGUGCUUGACCUGGUCUACCUGGUCAUUGCUUCCGCUUGCCAUUGGAGAUAUGUGCUGAAUUCUGUGGAAAGACAUGAAGAGGGAGAGUUGAAUAAAUGGAUAAUGGUGUGUUACAUUUAGAUAAAUGUCUGCCCUCCUGACGUAGAUCCUUCUUGUUUAUGGGGGCAGCCAUUUCCCAGUAACCAAAGCAAACUGUCGUCAUGGUGAUCAAGCAGUGGACAUUUUUGUCAGUGAAUUCCUCCAAAACCAGAACGUCAACCCCUCAAGAAAACAGUCACAUGAAGUGGUGGGAAAAUAAAGUAAUAAUAAUUUAUGAGGUGAUCUUUUGUACAGACAGAUGCAAAAAGUGAGAGAAUUUCAUAGAGAUGUCUAUAAGAUCAAAUACAGAGUAAAUCCUUUUUUAUUUUAUUUUGUUGUUUUUACACACAAAUGUGCCAGUCAUAAUUAUGUUCAAUCCAAGGAAACAGCUUUGUUAUUUUUGCAUUGUUUCUUACUGUCGAAAUGUUUCUUUUUUUUAUCUUAAUUUAAAUAUCACCCAGUAGAUAAAAAAAAAAUAUCCUGUCAUCAUUUCCUCUGUCAAAACCUUUUUGAAAUAAAAUUGAAC